rnacentral:rRNA from 1 species
UGAGGAAUAUUGGUCAAUGGGCGCGAGCCUGAACCAGCCAAGUCGCGUGCAGGAAGAAUGUCCUAUGGAUUGUAAACUGCUUUUGCAGGGGAAUAAAGUGAGCCACGUGUGGUUUUUUGUAUGUACUCUGCGAAUAAGGAUCGGCUAACUCCGUGUCAGCAGCCGCGGUAAUACGGAGGAUCCGAGCGUUAUCCGGAUUUAUUGGGUUUAAAGGGUGCGUAGGCGGGAUAAUAAGUCAGUGGUGAAAGUUUGCAGCUUAACUGUAAAAUUGCCGUUGAAACUGUUAUUCUUGAGAGUAGAUAAGGUAGGCGGAAUGUGUUGUGUAGCGGUGAAAUGCAUAGAUAUAACACAGAACCCCGAUUGCGAAGGCAGCUUACCGGGCUACAUCUGACGCUGAUGCACGAAAGCGUGGGGAUCAAACAG